GCUGUGACAAAGAGAAUCAGCGCUCGUCGUGACGGAGCGGCGCGGGCCGCCAUUUCAAAGCCGAGGAAACGCGGGAGCUUUCGCGCUGUAACCGACGGAUGCGUGUUUUAUACAAUACACCGAAUUAAGUUCUGUAUUUUUAAGGCUCGUUGUUUAGAAGAACUCUCAGUCUCGUAAGAUGGAUGGCGACACAGAGCAGGUGGAGGAGACGACAGAAGUGAUGGAGGCCACAGAGACACCCUCAAAUGAAGAACCUUCAGCUGACAGCAAGAUCAGGGGUCGUGGAGGGAAGAUCCGCGGCAGAGGAGGCCGGAUGCCCCGUGGGUUCCGUGGAGGACGUGGGAUGAUGAUGAUGAUGAAAGGGUUUCCACCAGGUCCUAUGAGAGGAAGAGGCCGCGACGGGUUCACAAACGGAUUCGGACCCAUGAGGAGAGGCAUGGGGCGUAUGUGGCCGUAUCCAGACAUGCGCGGCCGACGAGCUCGAGGCGGACCAAGGGGAAUGAACCUGGGUCCACCGGGUCCACCGCCUCCACCUCCUCCCCCCAUGCACAUGAGAGGACCUCCACCACACAUGCACAGGCAUGGCCCGCCUCCUCCACCGCCCCCUCCGGGACACCCGGCGUUCCGAGGGCGACCGCCACACCCCAGGGGGCGGGGCAUGAUGCCGCCCGGUCCGCCUCGCUUCUUCCACCCCAGGGGGAGCAGCAAGCCUCUGUGUUCCUCUGAAGGGCUCUUCUGCUGCUUUCACUCUGGACUGACUCUUCUUGUCUCCUGAAGGGGUGAGACACCCUUCUGAAGGCAGCCGGACUCGCAGGAGGCCCCGCCCACCGCCGUGAAGCUCCGCCCCGUAACCGAGGUGAGCUGCAUCUCUCUGCUCUGGACUGAUCUGUCAAUCACUCUGUAACCGUGAGAACAGAACCCUUCAGGCACAAAGAUCUGCAUCCACGCAUUGCAGACAAAAAUAAUUUUGUACGCAUUGAUUUUGUUAAAAAAGGUUAUGCAUAACGCAUUAUAAUCAUUAUACAUAGGUUUUAUUUUUUUAUUUCAGUUUUUUAUUUAUAAAUAUUUUAUAUUACUUGACAAACAUUGAGUGGGCAACUAAUUGAAAUAGUUUCAUAGUUUUUAAUGGCUAUACAGUUUUUAUUUCAGCUUUUACAUUUAAUUAGUUUGUAUUGUCUUUAUAUUUUUAUUAUUAUUAUUAUUUUAUAUAUUUGAGCAAAACUCAAUCAAAAUGAGGUUUUGUCCUGGCAUCAAAAACUAACACUAGCUCCUCUAUUCUCUGUAUUCUAUCUGUUUUCUUUUUAAUUAUAUGAUUAACAAAAAUCAAAAAAGGCCUCAAAUAAACUAGCUUGCUGUUUUCUUUUUCUAGUCUAUCGGUUUUAUUUUUAUUAAUUAUAAAAACCCUAGUUUGGAAGUCACUUUGGGGAAAAAAAAAGCAUAUUUUUAUUUCAGUUCAAGUUUAACUAUGAUAAUAACACGUCUUUUCAUAAAUAAUUGCAAUUUGAAAUGCACUUUAAUAUUUGCAGGCAAUAAUAUUAAUACUUGCAUUAUAACAUUAAAUCAGAAAUUGUGUUUUUGUCGUGUUUUAAUGCAUUCAAUUUUCUAAAAGUGCAACAGUGAAUAGACAAGUAUAAUUGUGCUCCUAGUUAUUCAUGUCACAAGGCAUAGUUAAUUAAAUCCUGUUUAAUGCACUACACAUAAAGGCUAGUUUCAGUUUUUAAGUAAAGGAGAAGCAUCCAAGGAUGCACUUCAGUUUUUGGGUCGCCACAUAACUUGCACACUCUGGAUAAUUUAUGUAUUUAUUUAUUGAUGCAUUUCUACACAAAGAAGAUUUGCCAAUCUAAUAUCUGAGGCACGUUCAGUAUAGUGUGAGUAUCGUGUGCUUCUCCAGACGACUGAAGAGCUGCAGAGUAACUCGGAGAUCAUCAUCUUCUGCUGCUGCUCAGGUGAGACUCCAGGUCUCCAGAGAUCAUGUUUUCAUUCUGUUCAGACUGAGGCUUCUCAGAGGAGGAGUGUGUCUGACGCUGUGCUGUCUUCUGUGUGUGUGAGAGCAGGGAGUCUCUUCAGAGGAAUGUCUCGUUUGGUGACGCACACGAGGAGCUGUGAAUCAUGUGACACUGAAGACUGGAGGAAUGAUGCUGAAAAUACAGCGGAGCAUCACAGAAAUACAUUACACUUUAAUACAGAUUCACACAGAAAACAGAUGGUUUACAUUAGAAUAAUAUUUCACAUUUUUUACUGUAUUUUUAAUCAAAUAAACAGCCUUGAUGAGCAGAAGAGACUCAUUUAAAACACUUAACUCUCACUGACCCCUAACUGUUGAACAGCAGUGUAGAUAUAGAUAUAAGAGAUGUAUAGUUUUAUUUAAAUAAAUCUGUAUUUAUAUAUAAAUGGGUGAUUAAUUAAUGCUUCACUGAGUGUGCUGAGGUAAGACACUUCUUGAAGGAAAAUGAAAUGAUCUAGUGUAAAGUGAGAAACAGCUCUCUUCAGAAGCGGAGUGGAGCAGCUUUGAUUAAGUUAUCAUAGUAGUUUCUGUCAAAUCAACCAUAUUUAAUACCGAGCCGAAGUGUUCGUGAAAGAGCUUUGACAACGCAAAGCCGCCAUGUGUCCUGCUGCGGAAGCGGAAGUGACGUCACCACAGGGAGGAGGAAACGGCGCCCCUAGAGGCAGUGAAUGUAUAAAGAAUGGUGUAUUAAAUCUGGUCAGUGUUUUAUAGUCAUGGUUCCAACACUUCUCCAAGAAUGAGGUUAACAUUUAACGAAACUAAAUAUUUGAAAUUUACACUUGCACCGAAAGCAAAGGAAAUGAAGAUGAAACACAUGAUUUAGCAAUUAACACAAUUAUUAUUCCUGGUAUAGAAAACAUAUUCCUGAAACAUUCCACAUUUCUGCAUAUUUGACAAAGAACUGUCAUUACUUUUAUCACUGAAACAAAUAAUGCCUUAAACCUCGAAUUAUUAAUAGAAAUAUGUUUCUUACAGUAUGAUACUCGUCUGUUUUCUGAUUAAGGAACUUAGCAUUUUGUUCCAGUCUAUCGUGAUUUAGAUUUUUAACUUUUAAUUUCACAUUUGGACUUUUGAAGUCAUAUUUCUGACUUUUAUCUCAUAUUUAUGGCUCAUAAUUCCGAUUUAGUGUGCCAUAACAUAACUUUUCCUCAUAAUUAUAAUAUGCCAAAGCAUACGUUUUAUUUAUUUGCUUUUCUUCUCGUGUGAGGACGUAUAAAUACACACAUUUGAUUUUAAUAUCAAGUUAAAACAAUCGUUGCCAAGUCUGCGAUUGUUUUUCAUAUCCGCGGUUUGAAGCAAUCCCAAUACCAAUAACGUGAUAUUUAGCCCCUAAACUGUGAAUUUUACCAUGGCAAAAAAAAAUUAUUUUAACCCCGGGAAGCAAUUUUUAUCGGGUAACCUCCUGGAAAUGUGAUCGGUCUAGUUUUGGACUAGUUUUGAGAAGCAACUGGGCAGGAUUUGUUGUGAAAACCUGGCAACCCUGACCUGAACACGUGCUGGAGAUAUACUCCUAAUUACAGGAGCGUCUUUACUGAUGGGAUGUGCAUGAAACUCGCAUUAGAUUUUUUGCAUAGCAUUAGCAUUUUAAUAAUUUCUUGAUAAAUUAAUUAUUUUUCAUCGUUAACCCAUGAUCUUAUCACCAUCUUGUACAUUCUUCCUGGUUGGGCAUCUCUUUCCUGCAGUGUUCAGACAUUAUCUGGAGAAUCCACUGAGACCUGAGCGUCUUUGACUUGUUCGCAGUUAUUAUUUGAGCUGUGUAUUGGUGGGAGUCGGGAUUUAGAGAAGGAGAAACGUGACUUUGGUGAGCGAAUGUUUGUAUUGAAGGCAUGCUGGGUAAAUGAUGUUAGGUGUUUUUAGAAGAGAGGAGCAUGGAGCAGCACGGUUCUUUAUAACUGCAACACUUUUUAGAUUUGUGUUUGAUUUAGUCCAUUCUGUCUGAAAUAAGCCAAAUACACCCAUGAUGCUGUUUGGGGUUGAGGAGAGUCAGGACUUGUUUAGCUGUGUUUAUUUGCUCUGUUCUGUAUAUUUAGGGGUAUCUCAUGCUUCUUGUUUUGUAAACAGACUCUGGGGUAACUCACUUGAAGCCUAUGCCCUAGGGUUUGCAUUAUACUGUAAUGAACAGUUUUGUUGUUCCUCAAAAGUUUGUGUCUUUUGUCGCUGUGUAGCCUAAUAAAAGUGUACAGGUUGAA